rnacentral:lncRNA from 1 species
UUGAGAAAUGCCUUUUUUCGCCUGUUGAGCUCAUGAUAUUCCGGUCUCUGCAAGUAAUUUCCUCAUCCUUCAAGCCUUAAAGUUGAAGAAAAUGGUGAUCUUUAAAUAGUCUCGAUGUGCUUGAUGCUAUUCACAUUUCUUAAAAGCAUCAUAAUUGUUAAUAUUUUCCCAAUCAUAAUUUUCAUUAGCUGCAAGGUUAGUGAAAGACUCUAAACUGGUUAAAGGAGAUGAAGGUAUUUGAUUGCUUUGUUCUUGCAUGUUGACAAUAUCUUUAGCUGUGACAUCCCGAUACCUGGUGGGAUAAAAGAUACCUGAUAACAAAACAAAUGUGAGUACAUGAAUUAUAAACAUAUAUAUUCAAUAGAAAAAUAUCAUCCCUUAUAAAAAUAUUAGUUUCAAAUUUACACAUGAGACCAAAAAGAUGGCUACCAAAAUAUAUAUAUACAAAAGUUAUGAAGAGCCACUUAUUCUAUUAUAAGGGUGUUUUAUCAUAGUGCGAAUAGAUAAUGCACUCAAAAUUUUUCUAAAUAUUCGAUAACGGAUCCAAACAAGCUUCAAUGGGCAGCUCAACAAGCAAAUCGUCACUUCAAACAUCAUCUUAGGGAGAACAAGAAUUAGGGCGGGUUCCAAUAAAUUCAAUAAGAAAAAUAAUAUUUAAACUAUAUUAUCAAGGUUUUAGAAGUUACUUAGUUCCAAAACAUACCAUUAUAAACAUACCAUUGGACGGAACUAUAGUAGGCUAGAUUAAAAUAUUUCCGAAAAAUAUUGGUUUUUAGAAAACAAUGUAUAUGAUCGAAGUUCUUUUCAAAUCAUAAGUUUAUAAGCGGAAUAGUGAAAAACAUAUGCAACAUAAAUUAAGCCAGUAAUAGUAAAGUGAAAGCGAAAAGAUAAUAUAAAGCAUAUAUGGUUCCAUAAAAUAUGCCAGAAUGGAAAAACACAUGGAAAAAAUGCAGGGGCAAACAAAUAUAAUUGUAAGAGAGACAGUUAAAUAAUGGCAAUCAUACAUACAUAACAGUCAAUAAUCUCAAUAAUCAGUUAGAUAGUUUUUACGAAUUUUACGAAAUUUUGCGCGAAGCCAUUCUAACUUAUACCAGUUGAGGGUAGAAGGGAUCUCCAACUACCAUUAUGAAUAUACAAAAUGAUUAAUUUUAAUACAAGAUAAUCUAGAUAGGUAGUUAUUGACUACGGUUGUACUUCGCCACUGUGGCCUCUACAAUCAAUCCCGAAUCCACUCUCAUAAGAGGGAAUGCUAGUAUCAUUUAUAGGGAGUGGUUCACCAAUGGUCGAUUCAAUCAGAUUCAGAUACCCUCCAGUGAUAAUGGUCAAACGGAUUUUUAAUUCUUUCUUCUUUUCUUUACUAAUUCAAAUUCACAGAUAAUCAUAAAAUCAAACCCGAUGAGGGUCCAAUAACACAUUUUUUGGCAUAAAAAGGCCUUUAUACUUAGACUUCGCCAUCGGUCACCUUCUCGAGCCGAGACUCAAUAGAUUAGCCCUCUCCACCAACAUCCAAAGGCAAGGUAGAGGGCCAAAUCCGCACAUACACAUCGGUCAUUUUCGAAAUUUGAUUUAAACAUGUAUUUUCAUUUUAAGGAGGAUUACAAACAUAUAUACCCAAUUGUUUUAAAUAAUUGAUAAUCUAUGAUUAUAAACAAUAUUCAAUUUUAUGCACCAAGACAAAUCGAUAGUCAUAAAAUUAUUAUCUAAAAAUUCACUUAGAAAUGUAUGAGCAAAUACCAAAGAAAUUCCUUACCGAAAUCUUUAAAUUUUGCAAAGUACUUACGUGGAAGGAUAGAAAGAUUGCUGGGUGAUUUGUAAUCCGUACGAAAAAAUCUGAACUCCUGGUUUGCCUUAAUUCUCUCACAAUUUUCAUUAAUUUCUCUCUAUAAAAU